rnacentral:rRNA from 1 species
CACGUAGGGCGCGAGCGUUGUCCGGAAUUAUUGGGCGUAAAGAGCUCGUAGGCGGCCUGUUGCGUCCGCUGUGAAAGCCCGGGGCUUAACCCCGGGUCGGCAGUGGAUACGGGCAGGCUAGAGGUAGGUAGGGGAGAUUGGAAUUCCUGGUGUAGCGGUGGAAUGCGCAGAUAUCAGGAGGAACACCGAUGGCGAAGGCAGAUCUCUGGGCCGUAACUGACGCUGAGGAGCGAAAGCGUGGGUAGCGAACAGG